rfam:Streptococcus pseudoporcinus LQ 940-04 Contig1216510750, whole genome shotgun sequence.
GGUCCGUUGGUCAAGGGGUUAAGACACCGCCUUUUCACGGCGGUAACACGGGUUCGAAUCCCGUACGGACUA